rnacentral:rRNA from 1 species
UAAGGAAUAUUGGACAAUGCCCGCAAGGGUGAUCCAGCCAUGCCGCGUGCAGGAAGAAGGCCCUAUGGGUCGUAAACUGCUUUUACACCGGAGAAAACCCCCUUACGUGUAAGGGGCUGAUAGUAUGGUGAGAAUAAGCAUCGGCUAACUUCGUGCCAGCAGCCGCGGUAAGACGAAGGAUGCAAGCGUUAUCCGGAUUUAUUGGGUUUAAAGGGAGCGUAGGUGGCCUUAUAAGUCAGUGGUGAAAGACUGUCGCUUAACGACGGAACUGCCAUUGAUACUGUAGGGCUUGAGUAUAGUUGCUGUGGGCGGAAUAUGACAUGUAGUGGUGAAAUACUUAGAGAUGUCAUAGAACACCGAUUGCGAAGGCAGCUCACAAAACUAUAACUGACACUGAGGCUCGAAAGUGCGGGGAUCAAACA